UACAGAGGGUGCAAACGUUGCUCGGAAUCAUUGGGCGUAAAGCGCACGUAGGCGGCCUAGCAAGUAGGGAGUGAAAGCCCUCGGCUUAACCGAGGAAGUGCUUUCUAAACUACUAGGCUUGAAUACUGGAGAGGGUCGCGGAAUUCCCGGUGUAGAGGUGAAAUUCGUAGAUAUCGGGAGGAACACCAGUGGCGAAGGCGACUUCCUGGCCUGUUCUUGACGCUGAGGCGCGAAAGCUAGGGGAGCAAACGGG
rnacentral:rRNA from 1 species